UUGGAGGGCAAGUCUGGUGCCAGCAGCCGCGGUAAUUCCAGCUCCAAUAGCGUAUAUUAAAGUUGUUGCAGUUAAAAAGCUCGUAGUUGAAUUUCGGGGUUAGUAGGUUGGUCGUGCCUCUGGUAUGUACUGGUCUCACUGAUUCCUCCUUCCUGAAGAACCUUAAUGCCAUUAAUUUGGUGUUUUGGGGAAUUUGGACUGUUACUUUGAAAAAAUUAGAGUGUUUAAAGCAAGCUAACGCUUGAAUACAUUAGCAUGGAAUAAUGAAAUAGGGCGUUCGAUCCUAUUUUGUUGGUUUCUAGGAUUGACGUAAUGAUUAAUAGGGAUAGUUGGGGGCAUUAGUAUUCAAUUGUCAGAGGUGAAAUUCUUGGAUUUAUUGAAGACUAACUACUGCGAAAGCAUUUGCCAAGGAUGUUUUCAUUAAUCAAGAACGAAAGUUAGGGGAUCGAAGACGAUCAGAUACCGUCGUAGUCUUAACCAUAAACUAUGCCGACUAGGGAUCGGAUGAUGUUAAUUUUUUAAUGACUCAUUCGGCGCCUUACGGGAAACCAAAGUGUUUGGGUUC
rnacentral:rRNA from 1 species